UACGUAGGGUGCAAGCGUUAAUCGGAAUUACUGGGCGUAAAGCGUGCGCAGGCGGUUCGCUAAGACAGAUGUGAAAUCCCCCGGGCUUAACCUGGGAACUGCAUUUGUGACUGGCGGGCUAGAGUAUGGCAGAGGGGGGUAGAAUUCCACGUGUAGCAGUGAAAUGCGUAGAGAUGUGGAGGAAUACCGAUGGCGAAGGCAGCCCCCUGGGCCAAUACUGACGCUCAUGCACGAAAGCGUGGGAGC
rnacentral:rRNA from 1 species